rnacentral:rRNA from 1 species
UGUGAAGUGUUGGGUUAAGUCCGCAACGAGCGCAACCCUAUCAUCUGUUGCCAGCAUUUAAGGUGGGGACUCAGAUGAGACUGCCGGGUGACAAACCGGAGGAAAGGUGGGGACGACGUCAAGUCAUCAUGGCCCUUAUGUCCUGGGCUACACACGUGCUACAAUGGCCGGUACAGAGUGAAGCGAAACCGCGAGGUGAAGCAAAACGCAGAAAGCCGGUCUCAGUACGGAUUGGAGUCUGAAACUCGAAUUCAUGAAGCUGGAAUCGCUAGUAAUCGCAGAUCAGCCAAGCUGCGGUGAAUACGUUCCCGGGCCUU